UGGGGAAUAUUGCACAAUGGGCGCAAGCCUGAUGCAGCCAUGCCGCGUGUAUGAAGAAGGCCUUCGGGUUGUAAAGUACUUUCAGCGGGGAGGAAGGUGUUGAGGUUAAUAACCUCAGCAAUUGACGUUACCCGCAGAAGAAGCACCGGCUAACUCCGUGCCAGCAGCCGCGGUAAUACGGAGGGUGCAAGCGUUAAUCGGAAUUACUGGGCGUAAAGCGCACGCAGGCGGUCUGUCAAGUCGGAUGUGAAAUCCCCGGGCUCAAGCUGGGAACUGCAUUCGAAACUGGCAGGCUAGAGUCUUGUAGAGGGGGGUAGAAUUCCAGGUGUAGCGGUGAAACGCGUAGAGAUCUGGAGGAAUACCGGUGGCGAAGGCGGCCCCCUGGACAAAGACUGACG
rnacentral:rRNA from 1 species